rnacentral:rRNA from 1 species
UGGGGAAUAUUGCACAAUGGGGGGAACCCUGAUGCAGCAACGCCGCGUGAAGGAAGAAGGUUUUCGGAUCGUAAACUUCUAUCAACAGGGACGAAGGAAGUGACUGUACCUGAAUAAGAAGCCCCGGCUAACUACGUGCCAGCAGCCGCGGUAAUACGUAGGGGGCAAGCGUUAUCCGGAAUUACUGGGUGUAAAGGGAGCGUAGGCGGCAUGGUAAGCCAGAUGUGAAAGCCCGCGGCUUAACCGCGCGGAUUGCAUUUGGAACUAUCAAGCUAGAGUACAGGAGAGGAAAGCGGAAUUCCUAGUGUAGCGGUGAAAUGCGUAGAUAUUAGGAAGAACACCAGUGGCGAAGGCGGCUUUCUGGACUGCAACAGACGCUGAGGCUCGAAAGCGUGGGGAGCAAACAGG